rnacentral:rRNA from 1 species
CGUAAACUCGCGAAUGGCUCAUUAUAUAAGUUAUCGUUUAUUUCGAUAAUACUUUACUACUUGGAUAACCGUGGUAAUUCUAGAGCUAAUACAUGCUAAAAAUCCCGACUUCGGAAGGGUUGUAUUUAUUAGAUUAAAAACCAAUGCCCCUCGGGGCUCUCUGGUGAAUCAUGAUAACUAGUCGAAUCGACAGGCCUUGUGCCGGCGAUGGCUCAUUCAAAUUUCUUCCCUAUCAACUUUCGAUGUUUGGGUCUUGUCCAAACAUGGUGGCAACGGGUAACGGAGGGUUAGGGCUCGACCCCGGAGAAGGAGCCUGAGAAACGGCUACUACAUCCAAGGAAGGCAGCAGGCGCGCAAAUUACCCAAUCCCGACACGGGGAGGUAGUGACAAUAAAUACUGAUACAGGGCUCUUUUGGGUCUUGUAAUCGGAAUGAGUACAAUUUAAAUCCCUUAACGAGGAACAAUUGGAGGGCAAGUCUGGUGCCAGCAGCCGCGGUAAUUCCAGCUCCAAUAGCGUAUAUUAAGUUGUUGUGGUUAAAAAGCUCGUAGUUGAACCUUGGGCCUGGCUGGCCGGUCCGCCUCACCGCGUGCACUGGUCCGGCCGGGCCUUUCCCUCUGCGGAACCCCAUGCCCUUCACUGGGUGUGGCGGGGAAACAGGACUUUUACUUUGAAAAAAUUAGAGUGCUCAAGGCAGGCCUAUGCUCGAAUACAUUAGCAUGGAAUAAUAGAAUAGGACGUGUGGUUCUAUUUUGUUGGUUUCUAGGACCGCCGUAAUGAUUAAUAGGGACAGUCGGGGGCAUCAGUAUUCAAUUGUCAGAGGUGAAAUUCUGGGAUUUAUUGAAGACUAACUACUGCGAAAGCAUUUGCCAAGGAUGUUUUCAUUAAUCAGGAAC